rnacentral:rRNA from 1 species
UACAGAGGGUGCAAGCGUUGUUCGGAAUCAUUGGGCGUAAAGGGCGUGUAGGCGGUUUGUUAAGUCAUGUGUGAAAUCCCUGGGCUCAACCCAGGAACUGCGUCCGAUACUGGUUGGCUUGAAUCCGGGAGAGGGAUGUGGAAUUCCAGGUGUAGCGGUGAAAUGCGUAGAUAUCGAGAGGAACACCUGCGGCGAAGGCGGGUUGCUGGGCUGACACUGACGCUGAGGCGCGAAAGCUAGGGGAGCGAACGGG